GCAUGGUGGUUUAGUGGUUAGCACGUUUGCCUCACACCUCCGCGGUUGGGGGUUCGAAUCCUGCGGCCAUGUG